rnacentral:rRNA from 2 species
UGGGGAAUCUUGGACAAUGGGCGCAAGCCUGAUCCAGCCAUGCCGCGUGAGUGAAGAAGGCCUUCGGGUUGUAAAGCUCUUUUGUCAGGGACGAUAAUGACGGUACCUGAAGAAUAAGCCCCGGCAAACUUCGUGCCAGCAGCCGCGGUGAUACGAAGGGGGCUAGCGUUGUUCGGAAUUACUGGGCGUAAAGCGCACGUAGGCUGAUUGUUAAGUCAGGGGUGAAAUCCCGGAGCUCAACUCCGGAAC